rnacentral:lncRNA from 1 species
CAACAGUUAACGACAAUAAAUGAUAUCGAAAAAUUACGUCUCACGUUUGACUUGGUCCCGGAAAUAAUGUCUGCUCCACAAAUACCACCCUAUUCCCUAUCUAGUGCACUACUUUCAACCAGGGCCCAUAGGGAAUAAGGUGCCAUUGGGGAUACAGACAAUGAUAUUUGGAGGAAGCUUCUUUUUUUUUGUUGGAAGGGAAAUCCUUCACUUUGACAAAGAGGACCAAAAGUCAAGGGUCGCGACCUUACGUGACCUUUAGGAUCCAUAACACUGACCAGGAAGUGUUUAAUUCUCACCCUUCACACUCGACGGCAGCCCCCUCUGAGUAGGACGAAGUUACGCCCCUUAGACACUGAUCUAAGAUCAGUUUUGUGUUUGUCCUCUCCCAACAGUGAAGGUUCGGGUUUAAGGAUGGGAAACUGACCCUAGAUCUCCCUUUAAGGGAUACUCUGACCUGGAGCCGGUCUUUCUCACAACACUACAGAACCACAGAGGACAGCCUACAUUCUCAAAAUAUCAAAUAAAAACAUUUAUCAAAACAAUUUCAUGGGCAUUUUACCAACCGUAGCUGUGCUUUGGAGAGAGGUCUUUCAACUCACUUAGAUACACAAAAACAAUGUGUAUAUUUGACAGAAUAUAAUCAACAACAUUUGUGUGGUUGCUAUGGCGAGGAAGUGAACUAAACACGGGGUUAGUUAAGACUAGUAGAAGGCUUUUUGGCUGGUUUGUUGACAUGACAGAAUCCUCAUGUUCUCAUUACACUGACGUUUAGAGAAGCCUGGGGACAAACCUACCUCUUUCUCCAUCCAACAUCUCACCGUUGGGGGGGAAAGGGGGGAAACACUGGUAAUAGAGUAAUUGUACUAGCCACCACCACAAGCUCAUUUUUAAACCUCUCCAUCUCGUUAGGGUUGGAGGCCUGUAUGUAUUUCUCUUCACAGUCAAACAGUUCAUGGUUGCAACACAUGGAAUCAACUAAACAGAGCUCAGAUUGCCUGAUUCAUCAACAGCUUGUUGUAUGUAGGCCUACUAGACUACAGCAACAGAGAAGAGAACAGAGAUAGUAUGAAUUGCGUUGAAGGUAAAGUUAACUGUCAAAAUAACAUUUCAUUUCAGACCAAUUCGGGAAGAAAUUAGAAUUUAAAACAAAUCGAUAAACACAUGUACAAAAACAAAAGGAGAAAAACCCCAUGUCCGAGGGGAUCCAAGAUGGCCGACAACGGUUGUUAGUUUCUAUUUCAAAUGAAGUCACUUGUGGUGCUUGAAUACAUUCAAUGCCUAGCUAAUCCUUCUGCUAUACGUGUUUUUAAUCCAUUUAUAUAUAUUUGAUAAUAACACAGACAGGAUGAUGUUAUGUUGUUGCCACUACUCCCUUAACUGCCUGACUGACUGACUAACUGACUGACUGACAAUAAUCUACUUCUCCUUUCAGCCGUCGGGGAGUGGUGUGUGUGUGCUGUGUGUGUGGCAUGUGUGCAACAGCUACCAGUGAACAGGAAAUGAAGAGAAGCUCGGCUCAGAAAGAGAGAGCAGGCCGGUUGCUUAGCAACAGGACUGUGGGGCGACCACACAGCGCCUGCGCUAAAUACCGCCACAAAAGAAGACCACAAUCUGUUUUGUUUUGAUGUUUUCAGUUACACACAGCCAGACGAACAAACCAACGAACGCAGACAAAAACACGUCUCUAGAGAGGAGAGAGGGGAGGGAGGGAGAAAGUGGGGAGGGAGGGAGAGAGAAAGAGUGGGGAGAGAUGGAGAGAGGGAGAGGGAAAGAGUGGGAAGGGAGAGAGGGGAGGGAGGGAGGGAGGGAAGGGAGAGUGAGAAAGAGACAGGGGGUAGGGAGGGAAAGAGUGGGAAGGGAGGGAGAGCGAGGGGACGGAAGGAAGGGAGAGUGAGUAAGAGAGAGGGGGGCAGGGAGUGAGAGAGGGAGGGAAAGAGUGGGAAGGGAGGGAAAGAGUGGGAAGGGAGGGAGAGAGGGAGGGAAAGAGUGGGAAGGGAGGGAAAGAGUGGGAAGGGAGGGAGAGAGGGAGGGAAAGAGUGGGAAGGGAGGGAGAGCGAGCGAGGGGACGUAGGGAAGGGAGAGUGAGAAAGAGAGAGGUUGGGCAGGGAGUGAGAGAGGGAGGGAAAGAGUGGGAAGGGAGGGAGAGAGGGAGGGAAAGAGUGGGAAGGGAGGGAGAGAGGGGAGGGUGAAUAGAAAUGUGAAACAGGGAAGAAAUGCGAGUAGAGAGAGAGUGAUCUCAACCACUUCUCAGAUAGACAGAGGUGACAGCUCUCUUCUGAGCUCUGACGGCUGUCACAGAAGUGGGUUGACGUGACGGCGUGUGUGUGUAUUUAUCUCCUUGUCUGCCUGUCUGUCUGCUUGUCUGUCUGUCUGUCUCUCGUCUGUCUUUCAAAGGGACCUGCAUGUGUAGAAAUGCUACGAUCACACGCCAUCACACACAGCAUGAAUAUAACGUGGAGGGGAUAGAUGUCAAACCUGUCAGACACAAUCCAAUAACCCAGGUAUCGAAGAAAAACUAAUACUGGAAAAAUACAUAUAGAUUUCCUACCCCUAUAUUGAAAAACAAAUAUUAAAACGAUUCUCCCCUGUUUGAGAGCUUGUAGUCAGUCUCUUGUCUUGUAGUCAGUCUCCUGUCUUGUAGUCAGUCUCCUGUCUUUCUCCUGUCUUGUAGUCAGUUUCCUGUCUCUCUCCUGUCCUGUAGUCAGUCUCCUGUCUCUCUCCUGUCUUGUAGUCAGUCUCCUGUCUCUCUCCUGUCUUGUAGUCAGUCUCCUGUCUUGUAGUCAGUCUCCCGUCUCUCCUGUCUUGUAGUCAGUCUCCUGUCUUGUAGUCAGUCUCCUGUCUCUCCUGUCUUGUAGUCAGUCUCCCGUCUUUCUCCCGUCUUGUAGUCAGUCUCCUGUCUCUCUCCUGUCUUGUAGUCAGUCUCCUGUCUCUCUCCUGUCUUGUAGUCAGUCUCCCGUCUCUCCUGUCUUGUAGUCAGUCUCCUGUCUCUCCUGUCUUGUAGUCAGUCUCCUGUCUCUCCUGUCUUGUAGUCAGUCUCCUGUCUCUCUCCUGUCUUGUAGUCAGUCUCCCGUCUCUCCUGUCUUGUAGUCAGUCUCCUGUCUUGUAGUCAGUCUCCUGUCUCUCCUGUCUUGUAGUCAGUCUCCCGUCUUUCUCCCGUCUUGUAGUCAGUCUCCUGUCUCUCUCCUGUCUUGUAGUCAGUCUCCUGUCUCUCUCCUGUCUUGUAGUCAGUCUCCUGUCUCUCCUGUCUUGUAGUCAGUCUCCUGUCUUGUAGUCAGUUUCCUGUCUCUCUCCUGUCCUGUAGUCAGUCUCCUGUCUCUCUCCUGUCUUGUAGUCAGUCUCCUGUCUCUCUCCUGUCUUGUAGUCAGUCUCCUGUCUUGUAGUCAGUCUCCUGUCUUGUAGUCAGUCUCCUGUCUCUCCUGUCUUGUAGUCAGUCUCCUGUCUCUCCUGUCUUGUAGUCAGUCUCCUGUCUUGUAGUCAGUCUCCUGUCUUGUAGUCAGUCUCCUGUCUUGUAGUCAGUCUCCUGUCUCUCUCCUGUCUUGUAGUCAGUCUCCCGUCUCUCUCCUGUCUUGUAGUCAGUCUCCUGUCUCUCUCCUGUCUUGUAGUCAGUCUCCCGUCUCUCCUGUCUUGUAGUCAGUCUCCUGUCUCUCUCCUGUCUUGUAGUCAGUCUCCUGUCUCUCCUGUCUUGUAGUCAGUCUCCUGUCUCUCUCCUGUCUUGUAGUCAGUCUCCCGUCUCUCCUGUCUUGUAGUCAGUCUCCUGUCUUUCUCCUGUCUUGUAGUCAGUCUCCUGUCUCUCCUGUCUUGUAGUCAGUCUCCCGUCUCUCCUGUCUUGUAGUCAGUCUCCUGUCUUGUAGUCAGUCUCCUGUCUUGUAGUCAGUCUCCCGUCUCUCCUGUCUUGUAGUCAGUCUCCUGUCUCUCCUGUCUUGUAGUCAGUCUCCUGUCUCUCCUGUCUUGUAGUCAGUCUCCUGUCUCUCCUGUCUUGUAGUCAGUCUCCCGUCUCUCCUGUCUUGUAGUCAGUCUCCUGUCUCUCCUGUCUUGUAGUCAGUCUCCUGUCUCUCCUGUCUUGUAGUCAGUCU